rnacentral:rRNA from 1 species
CAAUAGCGUAUAUUAAAGUUGUUGCAGUUAAAAGCUCGUAGUUGGAUUUCUGGGAGAGUGGCGAUGUCCGCUUAACGUGUGUGCAGCGACGCUCUUCCAUCCUUCUGUUAGCGUCUCUUGGCAUUCAUUUGCUGGUGGCGGGCUCAGAUAUUUUACCUUGAGAAAAUUAGAGUGUUUCAGGCAGGCUAGGCCGGAAUACAUUAGCAUGGAAUAAUGGAAUAGGACUACGGUCUCUUUGUUGGUUUGAGGGACUGCAGUAAUGAUUAAUAGGGAUAGUUGGGGGCGAUUAGUAUUUAAUUAGUCAGAGGUGGAAUUCUUCAGAUUUGUUUAAAGAACUAACUUAUUGCGAAAGACAUUUGUCCAA